UUUUGGCGCACAUGCGUCCUCUCCUGCUCGGCUUCAUUGAGCUUGGUUCGCAGGAUUGCUGAAUCAAUUUUCAGCCGUAAAUUUCUCUUUUUAAAUUAUGCAUCAUCACAAGCAGACCAUUUCAUGUUGUUUUAGAGCACUUCUAGAAGUGUUUUGGCUAUCAAUUUGUGAUCUUCGUAGUCUCUGAGGGGAUGUUUUGGGCAGGAAAAAUUCGGACUGGGCACAAAGUUUGGCGUUGCAUGCUCAGUGACAUGGCGGCCAUAAUGGAACCGUUUGGAUGUUCAAGGUGAUGUUCUCCAUUCAAGAUGACAUUCAGGAACUCCAGAUGAAGCAGCCAUAGCUGAGGGGCAGAGCUGAUGUCUGAGCCAAUCAAGCUGAUGCUCCUUGAUUUGUUGGUAGAAGUGGCUUUCCCUCAUGUCUAAAAGCAUCUUUGCCUUCAUUUUGGCCCUGAUUCUAAACUUCUGUUCAUGCUGAUGAAGUCUGGCAGGAGCAAACAAUGACUGGACUACACUCACUAUGCAGUGCAGGACUGAUCUACCGUAGUCACAGGAGGGCGCUGUUGGAUACAUGCAGUCUCCGUAUUACAUGUAUGAGAAAUGACUGGAAGUAGAUGCCAACCCCUUGAGAAGAGGAAUACAAGGUUGCAUCGGAACAGUUUCACUGCAAAUUUUCACCCCCCCCCC
rnacentral:lncRNA from 1 species